rnacentral:rRNA from 1 species
CCUACGGGUGGCAGCAGUGGGGAAUAUUGGGCAAUGGGCGCAAGCCUGACCCAGCAACGCCGCGUGAAGGAAGAAGGCCUUCGGGUUGUAAACUUCUUUUAAGAGGGAAGAGCAGACGACGGUACCUCUUGAAUAAGCUCCGGCUAACUACGUGCCAGAAGCCGCGCUAAUACGUAGGGAGCGAGCGUUGUCCGGAUUUACUGGGGGUAAAGGGCGUGCAGCCGGGAGUACAAGUCAGAUGUGAAAUCCCGCGGCUCAACCGCGGAACUGCAUUUGAAACUGUAUUUCUUGAGUACUGGAGAGGCAGGCGGAAUUCCUAGUGUAGCGGUGAAAUGCGUAGAGAUUAGGAGGAACACCAGUGGCGAAGGCAGUCUGCUGGACAGCAACUGACGGUGAGGCGCGAAAGCGUGGGGAGCAAACAGGAUUAGAUACCCUUGUAGUC